AGAGAAAAAAAAUCCAAUUAUUUUUAGUCCAUUGAGUCAUCUGCAAAGAACAAGAGGAACAAGGAAGCUGGCUGCAUGUGUGAAGACAUGCACGACAGACGCAUUUUAUCAGAGCAGCAGCUAGGGAAGGGCCCUGUAACCUUAGCUUCGAGAACCCACGGGACACGGACAUGACGGGAGGCCACUGGUUUGCAUCAGGCGCAGAGGUUCAGGCGCACAAUGGCUUGUUUGCUGUUACAGUCGGACCUUUAUUCCGAGUCGUCAAGUGUUCAUUGUAAAAUGUCUGACUACGGAAUCCCGAAGACAGCCCCCUUUGUUGUUCGGUAGGUGGGGAGAUCAGCACAAUUUAUUAUAAUUAUGGAGUUCCACUUUACUUUUUUCUCCAUCCAGCAACAUUUUUGACUCGUUUUAGAUUAAAGUGUAUCUCUCAUUAAUUACGGCAUUUUAGUUCCCAGCUUGUAAUUGGUAUCUGGUGCUCUUGACUCCUGGUGCUCUGGGCGACGAUAUUUCAAGGGGCCCUCGAUGAGUUUGCCUGAGGUAAAGUAAAAUGGAAAGUACCGACUUUCUUAAAUAAUUUGAGUUAUUCCUUGUGGCUCCCAAGAUUUAAGGUUGCUGCCGCAUGGGGGCUGGGCGUGCUGAAAGGUAGGUGGUACAUGCGAUUAUCUUCCAAUUGGAGCGACCCAAAUAGAGGGUCUGUGUGACUGGCAGGGCUGUGUGCCAGGACAUAAUCAAAUAGGAAACUGGGUGCCAAUGGUAAUUUUUGAAAUGUGCUUUUAUGACAUCUUCUACGAAGAUGAAAGCAGUGUUCUGUAAAACAAACAGACAGCGCAGGACUUGAGCUGAGGCUCUGAUAGGAAAUUUAUGUAUAUUUCACCAAGCCCGACUUGAAAGGAAUUACACUUGAUUUGAAACUUUUAAUUGUUCUUGCUGUUUCUCUCCACAAAUAAGGAAACGCCGGCUCUCUGCAGACAGACUCUCCGCGCCAGCGAUCAGUUUCUUUUCAAGGCUCGGCCGCACUAAUUGCUGACUGUUUGAUUCGGUGCCCUUAUGAAAUUGAAGGGUGCCGCGAGGCAGGGAGAGAAGGCGCGGUGGUGCUUGUGGGUUCGGGGACUGGGGGAACCCACAGCUGUGGCCACAAGCCAGUCUCGUUAUCCCACGGCUCCAGCCGGCCAUCCAGGGGGCCCCACUUCCUUACUUCAGAUUCGUGUCUCGGGCUGAAGGCUUAGCGUCCCGGGGCUUUGACUCCGUAUCAUUUAUCACUGCUGACCGAUAACAGCCCCACUUUCUUCCAGCAACCAAACACGGCCAUUAUGGUUUUGUUUUAAUGUGGUACGUGGCAUUGUAUUUCACUGCCUGUCAACCACCGGUUUGCAAAAUAGGAAUAUAUUAAAGGAUGUGUAUUUCCCACAGAAUCGACAUGUUGCUUCUUUUCAGCAAUCUGGUGAUUUUACAGCCUCUCCAUGAGCCCAUCUCUAAGAUUGCUCCGUGCUUGCUCCUGUUAAGUCUGUUUCCACUGGGGUAGUAGAUGUUGAAGUGAACUUAUUGGUAUCUGAGAACCUACAGGUGUCUGAUAAUAUCAGAGACUAUUCAUCAGUUAGGCAACCUGACAGUUUUUUUUAAAAAUGGGAUUUCAAAAUCAUAAAUUCAAGGUAUUAAAAGAAAAUCAAUUAUGUAUUUAUGCAGCAAGAUUGUCAAGCAUUUUUUUUUCCUGAAUGACAAUUCUACAGAAAGUGGUCGUGAACGCAGAGUGCCUGGGUUCAAAUCCUGACCCUGCCUCUCGCCAACACGGAAGCCUCUUCAGCCACUGUUCUGUGCUUCAGCUGCUCGCGUCCUGAAGGCUACAACGGUCCCCUCAUCACAGCUGUUCCCAUGUGCCUCACACCACAGCACAGGCACCUGUGGUAGACCGGUGCCACCUGCCAUUGCCGAAUCCUGCGAGCACCGACUUCACGCUUUCCCUUCAACGGGGGUCAGCUGCUUCUUACACACUCGGGACCCUGAUGAUUACACAGCGACACUGUGAAAGCUUCUUGACUGCAGGAACCAUGUACAACCUUGUCACACGGUCUUUCCCAGGCCCUGGUGCAUAGCGUGUGCUCCAUCCGGCCUGUGCUCCAGGGAUCCCUCUCUGGGAUCAGAUUCUGGUUUUACAGUGUGCUGGCCAGCGUGGUCAUGAAGAUACCCAGUUCUCAAGUAAUGCAGGCUCAGGACCCAGGAGGCCCGGCUUGCCUGACGCCAUCUGCAAUGAGGCUGGGUACCAGCAUGGUGUUCCUUCCCAAUCUUCAUCUGUAAAGAGGAGAACAUGCUGCUUUAUGGCACCAUCACAAGGACUUUAGGAGCAACUAAAGCUUUUAAAGAGAGGCCACAGAUGUCCUAGGUCUGGACUUUAUGGCCACAAUGUCUGGGUCUAGAAUCCAGGCUCUGCCACCUAUCAUUUACGCAAACUUAGGGCAGGUUAUAAAUGAAAAUCAAGGUUGUCUUAUUAAAUCUGCUGGAAGAUUGGUAAAAUUGUAUAAAGUAUUUGAUUCAAAGUGGACUCUCACAACUGAUGGUAGCUCUUACCAACUCAUUCAGACGACAGAUAAAAAUUCCCAUGAUUGUCUUUUGCAUUCUUGUGACGUCAUUCUAACAGAUGCUGCCUCAGCUGACCAGAUUUCACUUUCUGUGAUUUUUAUCUAUGUGAAGUAGACCUGGGUCGUGCUAGCUACGUACUGUGCAUCUGCUGCACUGAACUGAGUGAAUUCAGAGGAACGUGUCUUUAUUCUCGGGCUUUUCUUUGCCUUGCGUUGUUGAAAAUUGGGAAGUGUUUCACACUGGGCUACAUUUAGGCUUUAGUGCUACUUCCGUAAUGGUUUGCCGGAGUCUUUAACUAUAUACAUUUCAUGAAGAAAAAGAAAUGGCUUCUUUGAAAA